UUACCAGAUAACCUUCUCUAUGAAACGGCAACAUGGUAUUAUGGUUAUGGGGGAUCAGCAGUAUUACUUGAUGUUUUAGCCUCACUGUGAGAUGUAGUUUUUAUAUACCAUUGCCACUAAAAUGAUUAUAAUGUAUUCUUUUACCACUACAUUUAUGCAUCUUUCCAUAUUAUGCUAUGAUGUAUUCAAGACCCUGUUUUGGUUUUUGUUACCAACUUUUUGUAUUUGACAUAUUUAUGCAUCUUUCCAUAAGUUACACUAUGAUAUCGACUGAUAUGAUGUAGUGCUGGUAGCAGUUUAGGAUUGUUGUAAUCCAUGGAUUUGGCCAAGUUCUGCAUCUUUGUACCAGCUCAUCUCCGCCAGAUUAGUCAAGAAUGGAAAGUUUCAGUGUUACUAAUGUCAUUUGUAUCGAAAUGUUUUGUUAUUGUAGGCUGCUACGUUAAGGAGAUUGAGCGAUGUGAAAAGUCAAAAAUCUGAUACCAAUGAUUCAGAUGAGAAUACUGUAGUUUCUUCUCCUCAGAGUUGUUUGGAGACGGAGAAAUCAAAGUUAUCUGGUCUUGGCAUUACAAUUCAUGAGAAGAAGUGGACUGAUGGGAGUGUUCCUCUGGAUGCAGUGCCAUCCAAACUUUCUAGACUUGCAAAGGUGCAGGGGAGACAUUACUUCUGAAGCUAUAAUGAUUGGAAUAGAACUUCAAGCUUGGCACGGAUUGAAAAUUUGCGAGAUUUAUGUGGCUUCUCUGCUGCCGGCUCUUGGACAAAUUGUGUGAUCUUUCUUGGUGACGACAGUUUUGACUUAUUGUGAAGGAAUGUGAGUUGGAUACCAAGGCAAACCACACUGAUGCACAACCACCAGGUUACCAAACUUAAUACAAUAGCCACCAAAAGGAAUUGAAUUCCCUAUUCCAAUAUAUGCACUGAUCAUAAUUAGCGAAUGUCAAAUCUGAAUACCAAAAUCUGAAUACAAGUUCUUUGCAUAUCUUGCAGAAUACUCAAAAUCUGAAUACCAAGUUCUUUGCAUUGCAGGUUGGUUUGUUUAAUGAACUUCUCUGGGGUUAAUCUUAGGAGGAGUGGAUCUCAAUCUUUAAAAAUAAAAUAUAGAUAUUUGACCUGCAAAAUAAGCCUAUAUAUGUGUAGUCAAUGCAAAUGAAUUUUUUUGUUAUUAUCUGAAAUGACUCUCGAAUUUUUUAGUUUUAU